GAUGAACGCUGGCGGCGUGCCUAAUACAUGCAAGUCGAGCGAACGGACGAGAAGCUUGCUUUUCUGAUGUUAGCGGCGGACGGGUGAGUAACACGUGGAUAACCUACCUAUAAGACUGGGAUAACUUCGGGAAACCGGAGCUAAUACCGGAUAAUAUUUUGAACCGCAUGGUUCAAAAGUGAAAGACGGUCUUGCUGUCACUUAUAGAUGGAUCCGCGCUGCAUUAGCUAGUUGGUAAGGUAACGGCUUACCAAGGCAACGAUGCAUAGCCGACCUGAGAGGGUGAUCGGCCACACUGGAACUGAGACACGGUCCAGACUCCUACGGGAGGCAGCAGUAGGGAAUCUUCCGCAAUGGGCGAAAGCCUGACGGAGCAACGCCGCGUGAGUGAUGAAGGUCUUCGGAUCGUAAAACUCUGUUAUUAGGGAAGAACAUAUGUGUAAGUAACUGUGCACAUCUGGACGGUACCUAAGCAGAAAACCACGGCUAACUACGU
rnacentral:rRNA from 1 species